GGAUGUAGUUCAGUUGGUUAGAGCGUCAGAUUGUGGUUCUGAAUGUCGUGGGUUCGAGCCCCACCCUC
rnacentral:tRNA from 4 species